rnacentral:lncRNA from 1 species
AAAGAAACUGAAAUUAUCUCACUAUUUAGGCACCGGUUUGGGCAUAUGUACAUGCUUAGCACGUUGAUCAUGCCCUUGUGAAUAGUAGUAAGAUCGUUACAUAGAGACCAGCAUUCAACGUUACAAGUUAUGGCAUAGUGCUCCGAGUCCUAGGCCAGGUAAAUACUCAAUAGACCAGCAUCCAUCGUUACAACAGUAUCUUGUUUUACUACGGUGCAACCGAGUAAUACAUAUAUAUGGCGUAAAAAGAGGAGAUGUGGUCGGCUUUCUGCGGAACAGUAAUCCCAAGAAGACUGCUGGAACGAUGUACAAUCAGUUAUGACCACAGCUGCAUGGUCUGCAGCAAGUACAAGGUGGACAAUUGGGUUCAGUAUCUGCAAGAAACAAAUACAAUGUGGUUAUAAACGGGACAACCUAUAUUCGCGAUAAUGGCCUGAAUUUCUAGCUUGCUGUUGUAAGUAGACCGAAUUUUUUUGAAGAAGAGCAUAGUACAUCCAAUACUUUGUAAUGGAAUUGAACACCAUGUUAGCUCACCGGCAACAAAAAAGGGUUUCAAUUAUUACACCUAAGGUGAUCUAUUCCUGAUGGCUGAUGAGAGUGUAUCAGGUGAAAAUGAGUUUGGAUUAAAACAUUGCUGGGAUCAAACUAAUUAAUCAGGACAUCAUGAGAUGUAGGGAGAUUAUUUGUCCUGGUAGUUCCCGCAAAAUGAACAGAUAUAAGUAGAAGAUAGAGAUUGUCAUAUAAAAAAACCCGAUUUUCUGUGAACAAAACUGUAUAUCAAAGAGAGGUACAGGUUGCACAUGGUGGAAUCGCAAGGCAGAGCACAUACUCGAAGAUGCCGGGUGCAAGAAAAUGAGCAGCAUGAUCCCGGUUGUAACAAGUCGAAGAACCAAGAGGUACCUCCAAUCCAUUAUGAGGGAAAAUGAAGGCCGUUGCACUCACUAUGGUUGGGCAUUAUGCUUCAUCUCCGUCUAAAUAAAGGAUCUGUACCAGGACUAGUUCAAAACAUAUUUACGAGACAAGAACUUUCAAUAACUUUGACUGGAAAGACAGCAGAGAAAACUGAUAUUUCGAUAACUUCGACAAGAAGUUUCAAUAACUUUUAACAGUGAUUUAUACUGUAUAAGACAGACAAGUAGCAGAGAAAAAUCUAUUCAAAGACCAAUCGUGUUGACUGGAAAAUGCUGUUCUGAUGGCAGCGCAAGGACUUUGCCUGUGACCAUUUUUCUCCAUCAACUAUUUAGGCAAGACAGUGUGCACAAGUUAGAGAAACUGCAAAAGUUUGAUAUGAUCACACUAGUUUUCAGUCUACUAACGAAGUUGGACAGGAACUUCUCACAGGAUUUUCAUACGUGUCAUUGCCCUCAAAAUCUACCAAACUGGGGGCAAUAAGUAGGAAGAGAAGUUGUUUGAAAUGUACUACAUAUAUCACACUCCUGGUGCGAAAACGUUUCAAUAGGAAUUAAUAGGAACUGUAGCACGACUGUGACCUCAAAAUGGCAUAAUCCAAGUCAACCUGAUAUAGUCCAUGUUUAUACUACAUAGUAAUUUCACACACCCAAUGUGGACAUGUAUUGACUAACUAAAAAACUGGUACUCCAUCAAGGAAACUCCAACCGUAGGUCCAGAAGUUAACGACACGUUUGUAGGUUUCAGCUCUGAACACAAAGCUAGACUUGUAUGCACCAAGAACGAUCAGCCAAAGGCUUCUAUAAUCCAGCAACAGACCUCUAUAAAAGGCAAUUUACCGCUCUUCCAGAAUCAAAUCAGCCCAAGAUCCAUGGUUGCUCACAUUGCAUAUCAACCAGAUGGCUUGUGCAUUAGUGUUAGCCAUCCUUGUCUCAUCGGUUUUGCAUCCUUUGUCUUUGACAACAUUAGCUGAUGAAUCCGACAACAACCGAGACGCUCUGCUCUGCCUCAAGUCUCGCCUCUCCAUCACCACAUGGAACACCACCUCGCCAGAUUUCUGCACUUGGUGCGGCGUCUCGUGCACAGGGAAGCCACAACUACCCCUGGUGGUGGCCUUGGACAUGGAGGCACAGGGCCUCACCGGCGAAAUCCCGCUCUGCAUGUCCAACCUCACGUCGCUGGUGAGAAUCCACUUGCCGAACAACCAGCUCUCUGGCCAUCUCCCACCAGAGAUUGGCCGGCUCUCUGGACUCCGGUACCUCAACCUCAGCUCCAACGCGCUCAGCGGCGAGAUCCCGGAAUCGCUGUCCUUAUGCUCUAGCCUUGAUGUCUUGGCGCUGAGCAACAACUCUGUUGGAGGUGUGAUCCCACCUCUACUCGGUACGCUUCACAACCUAUCCUCUCUAGACUUGUCCAGCAAUAAACUUUCUGGUGAGAUUCCACCUCUACUCGGGAGCUCACCGGCUCUGGAGUCUGUCAGUCUCGCCAACAACUUUCUCGAGGGAGAAAUCCCGCUGUUUUUGGCAAAUUGUUCCUCCCUUCGCUACCUUUCUUUACAAAACAACAGUCUUUCUGGGGCCAUACCGGCAGCUCUUUUCAACAGCUCAACCAUCACAGAGAUACAUGUUUCGAUGAACAAUCUUUCUGGAUCAAUUCCACCUUUCACAAACUUCCCUUCAAAGCUCAACUACCUCGAUUUAACAGGGAAUAGCCUAACCGGAACUGUGCCGCCCUCAGUAGGAAAUCUCACACGGCUUGCUGGUCUGUUAAUUGCGCAAAACCAGUUGCAGGGAAACAUCCCAGAUUUAUCCAAGCUAUCAGGCCUGCAAUUCCUUGACCUCUCAUACAACAAUCUAUCAGGGAUAGUGCCACCGUCCAUUUACAGUUUACCUUUGCUGAGCUUUCUUGGGUUGGCCAACAAUAAUCUUCGAGGAACACUUCCUUCCGAUAUGGGGAACACUCUUUCUAACAUAAAUUCAUUGAUUAUGUCUAAUAAUCAUUUUGAGGGUGAUAUCCCUGCAUCGCUAGCCAAUGCCUCCAGCAUGGAGUUCCUAUAUCUCGGCAACAAUUUGCUGAGUGGGGUGGUUCCUUCCUUCAGCUCCAUGACGAAUUUGCAGGUCCUAAUGCUGUACUCAAACCAGCUAGAAGCUGGAGACUGGACAUUCUUCUCGUCCUUGGCAAACUGUACACAGCUGCUAAAGGUGAACUUGGGCGGAAACAAACUACAUGGCAAUUUGCCGCCUGGUUCUGUAGCAACCCUGCCCAAAAGUAUGGUUAACUUGAUUCUACGGUCAAACUACAUAUCUGGAACUAUUCCCUUGGAGAUUGGGAACCUGUCUAAAACUUCCCUACUUUAUCUUGAUAACAAUAUUUUCACAGGGCCUAUACCUUCUAUUCUUGGCCAGCUAAGCAAACUGGUUGUUCUUAGCCUAUCACGGAACAAGUUCUCAGGAGAAAUUCCAUCUUCCAUUGGUAACUUGAAUCAGUUGACAGAACUUUAUUUACAAGAAAAUGAAUUAAUUGGAAGCAUACCUACAAGUUUAGCUGGCUGCCAGAAAUUGGUGGCGCUAAACCUUUCCAGCAAUGGCCUCAACGGAAGUAUCAAUGGGCGCGUGUUUAGCAAGUUAAAUCAACUGAGUUGGUUACUUGACCUGUCACAUAACCAGUUCACAGACUCCAUACCUCUAGAAAUUGGUAGCUUGAUAAACCUUGGCUCCUUGAACCUUUCGCACAACAAACUCAGAGGCAAAAUCCCAUCCGCACUUGGUGCAUGUAUCCGGUUGGAAGCACUGAACUUAGACAGGAACCUCCUAGAAGGAAGCAUUCCAGAAUCAUUGGCAAGCCUCAAGGGUGUCAAAGCAUUAGAUUUCUCCCAAAACAAUUUAUCCGGUACAAUACCAGAAUUCCUUGAGACGUUUACUUCGCUGCAAUACCUAAAUAUGUCCUUCAAUAACUUUGAGGGGCCAGUUCCGAUAGGUGGAGCCUUUGCUAACACAAGUAGUGUUUCUGUCCAAGGAAAUGCACUUCUUUGUUCAAAUGUUCAAGUCAACGAUUUGCCCAGGUGCUCCACCUCGGCAUCUCAGAGAAAGCGCAAGUUCAUUGUUCCAUUGUUGGCAGCCCUGCUAGCUGUUGUUGCAUUGGCCUUGAUCUUAGGGCUGGUUUUCCUGGUUUUCCAUAUUUUGAGAAAGAAGAAGAGGCGGAGGUCAAGUCAGUCCAUUGACCACACAUAUGCGGAGUUUAAAAGGCUAACAUAUAAUGAUGUAAGCAAAGCAACGAAUGGCUUUUCUCCAACCAAUAUAGUUGGUUCUGGGCAAUUCGGGAUAGUGUAUAAAGGUCAGUUGGACGGAAAAGAUAGCUUGGUGGCUGUUAAAGUGUUCAAACUUAAUCAGUAUGGUGCAUUGGAUAGCUUUAUUGCUGAGUGCAAAGCUUUGCGGAACAUCCGGCACCGAAAUCUCGUGAGUGUCAUAACUGCAUGCUCAACUUACGAUCUGAUGGGGAAUGAGUUCAAAGCUCUGGUAUUUGAAUAUAUGGCAAAUGGUAGCCUUGAAAAUCGACUUCAUGCUAAGAUCCAGAAGAAUGCUGAUUUGAGUUUGGGGACAGUGAUAUGCAUAGCAGUUGACAUUGCGUCUGCUCUGGAAUACCUUCAUAACCAAUGCAUCCCACCAGUGGUGCACUGUGAUUUGAAGCCAAGCAAUAUACUGUUUGAUGAUGAAGAUACUGCGUAUGUCUGUGAUUUUGGGCUAGCAAGGUUAAUUCAUGGUUAUUCAUCUGAAGCUCAGAGCAACUCAACAAGCAUAUCUGGACCAAGGGGAACUAUUGGAUACAUUGCUCCUGGUGGGUAACUAAACCUAGUCUGAAUUGAGUUUUUUUAUAUAAUAACUUUAUUAUAGUGCUUGUCAUAUAACUUUUUGUUUCCAAUCGUUGCACAGUAUGGCAUGGGCAGUCAAAUCUCAACUGAGGGCGAUGUCUACAGUUACGGCAUCAUACUUCUAGAAAUGCUAACGGGGAAAAGACCUACUGAUGAAGCCUUCAGUGAUGGCCUUACACUCCAGAAGUAUGUGGAUGCAUCACUUUCAGAGAUUGAACACAUUCUUCACCCCAGCCUUAUGCCAAAAACUGGAGAUCAGCAUACUGUUACCCCCAAAAUAGAAGAAUACAAGCCAACUACAGUGAUGCAUAUCUGCGCUCUGCAACUCCUUAAACUUGGGCUGUUAUGCUCCGUCGAGUCACCAAAAGAUCGCCCAAGCAUGCAUGAAAUUUACAGCGAAGUAAUGGCUGUAAAAGAAGCAUUUUUCUCUGUGAACAGCUGAGAGCUGCAAGUCUACAGCAGUUCCGAUAAAAUGAAUUCAGAUUUCUGUCGCAGCUAUUUUCGUUUUGGAUCUUUCUUCAUUGGAAAAUCUAGAUAGCUAAUUGCUGAAUCUUCUUAUGUUAAUUUCACUAUGUAUUGAUGUUAAAGGCCCUGAGCUGUUGUGUCAAACCAAACUUUUCUUCAGAGAUAAAGGGCUGAUAGCUAUGUUUUCCUAUUGCUUUCAUCAAUGCCAAAGCAACUUGGCCUCCCCCACACAAACUGUGUUGGGCGGACAGUAAUCAAUAUUUCCAGCUGAAAUCUCUGCUUUUUUUCUUUUGCCGGGGAAAAUCUCUUCAUUGGUGUUGGAAGUUUCUUCCUUUGUAAUCAGAAAUCUCUCAAUCUGCCUCCUGCUAACUAGCUAACAUUCAUGUAUGAUGUGUCAAGUUUGGAUCUACUAUAGUACUAGUAGUACUAGUAGAGAUUGCAACGAAGCCCAAUCUUUUGGGACCGAGACGACAAGUCCGAUUAAUCCCGGUUGAAUCAAAUUUGAAGCAAAAAUUGUACAAAAUCGAUACGGUAAUUUUGGUAUUUAACACGGGAAUGACAGGACUGAAAAGAAGACAGCAAACCCUAGGUACUCACUCUGGCGUCAAUUUGGGAAUGGGGCUGCCCUGCGCGUCGUGACGAUGGCCGUGGGCCGCGCAAGGCGGAAGCGUGGCCGCCGGACGUCGACCUUAGCCGGCGCGGUCUUGCGCUCCGCGGCAGCUUCCUGUCCUCGCGCGGCCUGUUCCCUGACUCGGCUGCCUCGCUCUCGUACUUGAGAGUCAGAGGAG